rnacentral:rRNA from 1 species
UACGUAGGGUGCAAGCGUUGUCCGGAAUUAUUGGGCGUAAAGGGCUCGUAGGCGGUGCGUCACGUCGGGAGUGAAAACUCAGGGCUCAACCCUGAGCGUGCUUCCGAUACGGGCGGACUAGAGGUAUGCAGGGGGAGAACGGAAUUCCUGGUGUAGCGGUGGAAUGCGCAGAUAUCAGGAGGAACACCGGUGGCGAAGGCGGUUCUCUGGGCAUUACCUGACGCUGAGGAGCGAAAGCAUGGGGAGCGAACAGG